UGUGAUCUGUGCAGUGGUUGCUGGGUUAGGGCGCGAGGCAUGGGUUGGUGUCAGGAGUAUGUCUGCGCUCAGGGGUGUGGGUGUGAUCUGUGCGGUGGUUGCUGGGUUAGGGCGGGAGGCGUGGGUUGGUGUCAGGAGUGUGUCUGCGCUCGGGUGUGUGUGUGAUCUGUGCGGUGGUUGCUGGGUUAGGGUGCAAGGCGUGGGUUGGUGUCAGGAGUAUUUCUGUGCUGACUCCUGGGGUGCUGGGAUGACGGGCCUGCUGGGGGGACAGUGCAGGAAUGCCGCCCGUCUUUGCUGGCAUUAGAGAACAGGCUGUCUGGGGAAAACAUGCGUCCUCUUGCCCCCUGGCAGCAGGUCCCGGCCCACAGCAAAUGAGCGUGUGGGUGACAGCGAGCCAGGGCAUUGUGGGAGAGCGCAGGCUCUUGUGGGGAAGGGUGAUCAGCAUUUCAGCUUGAAAAUUGCCCGGGUGCCAUGUGAACCAUGAGUAAGGCUAUGAUUUUGUCACAGAGGUCGCGGACUUCAGGCCCCCGCUGGUAGGAGCUGCAGGGUCCCCUGCCGCCCGUGGUGGCUGGGAACUGCGGGCACCCCUGCUGAUUGGAGCAGUGAGGCCCCCCGAGCCGCUGCAGGCUUUGGGGGUACCCUGCAGAUCCCAGAAGCCCUGGGCAGCAAGGUAGUGGGGGGAGGCUGCUGCUCUGAGCCAUGGGUGGCGGGGGAUCCUGGAGCUCCCCCUGCACCUUUCCAGGUGUGGGGACCCCGCAGCUCCCCAUUUUGUCGCACAUUUUUCCUGAAAAUCAGGGACAGGUCAUGGGCUUCCAUGAAUUUUUCUUUAUUGCUUGUGACCUGUCCAUGACUUUUACUAAAAAGAUCCUUGACAAAACCUUAGCCUUAACCACGAACCACCUGUGGCAGGGUUGUUGGACUGCUUGACAGCCUCCCGGUGUCAUUGCACCUGCACUGCUCUGCCCCGUGCCCCCUGGCUUUGUCCCCCCCUCUGUCUGGCAUGCUGGAAGAUUUGUCCCCCCUCUCUGGGCUCCGUGGGAUCCCUAGUGUAGGGGGAAAGGGAGGCAGUGCUGAACAUGCCACCAUUGGCCUGAGAGGGGGGAAAUCAGUUAUUCAGCAUCUGCCACAGUUAGAAAAAUUGGCUCCUUGUUGAGUGUCUCAGGGAUCCGAGGGGAGUGUGAACUCUCAGGCCGGCUUGGGUCCGUCUGCGCUGUUGCUCUGACUCCUGCCUGCGGGAAGCUGGCAUGGCUUAAAAGAGAUUAAUGCCAUUUGAGCUCAAUUAGAGAAGCGAGUUUGAAGCCUGCUGGGCAGCGGGGGUGUCGCCAGCAGCGCUGUUGAUCAAAGUUUGUUCGUUGGGUAAACAGGACUUAGAUGGGUUUGCAGCAGAGUUAGUCACUGCCCCAGCACAGGGCCCAUCACCACAAUGGGCCAAGCUGUCCAUGUGGCUGCUCCCAACAGGGAGGGGCUGUGGAGCUACACAUACAAAUAAGCAUCGACCCCCAGGCUGGGCAUCACCCACUGCACAUGGUGCCCCCUGACAGUACCCCUCAUUGCAUGCCAGCACUUCCUUGCACAACACUCCUCGCUGCACACACAACCCUGGGCAUUACUCCCCCCUGCAUGCCAACCCUGCCUGGGCACCUCAACACAGUACACACCGAGCCCUCAGGCAGUAUCCUUCACUGCACACUGAGCCUGCAAGCACCACCCCUCAUUGCACACUGAGCCCUCAGGUACCACCCCUCACUGCAUGCCAGUUCCCAUGACUGCAAACUGAGCCUCUCAUGUGAUACUCAGCAGUGCAUGCCUAGCCCUCCCCAAGCCCCACCCAUCACUACACCAAGCCCCCUGUGUGACACCCUUCACCGAACGCUGAGCCCUUACAGUAUACCAACAGAGUGGCUUGCGUGGGGAUUGGCAGGGAUCAGCACCUUCCAGGGUGGAGCACUAAGUUACCACAGAUACAUGAGAGGAGAGUGACCUGCAUUGAGGAGCUCUGGCCAUAUAGUCCUGCGCUUAUUCUGGUCAGGAGGGUGCCGUACGUUUUUGUUGCUAAGAGGGGAAAACAGGUGUUUAGGUCUCACAGGAGACGUGCACAAGGGGAUGAGGGGUAGCAGGCUGGGUCAGGCAGGAUACGCCAUGUAGGUGCAGGAAAGGGGAGAGGACUAGAAAUGGGGGUCCCACAUUUUUCUGGCAGCAUUGGUUGGUCUGUAGGGUCCAGAUCUCUCUGAAAUAGAAGCGUAGGACUAGAAGGGAUCAUAGAAUCAUGUUGUCUAACCCCCUGCCAAUGUGCAGGCUUUGUUGUGUCUAAACCAUCCGAGACAGGUGGCUAUCCAGCCUCCUUUCGAAAACCUCCAGUGAAGGCGUUUCCACAACCUCCGGAGGUAGUCUGUGCCCUUGGUCUCCUGUUCUUACAGUUAGGAAGUUUUUCCUGAGAUUUAAUCUCAAUCUUCUGUACUGGUGU